CAGCAGCCACGGGAAUACGAAGGGGGCUAGCGUUGUUCGGAUUUACUGGGCGUAAAGCGCACGUAGGCGGACUUUUAAGUCAGGGGUGAAAUCCCGGGGCUCAACCCCGGAACUGCCUUUGAUACUGGAAAUCUUGAGUAUGGUAGAGGUGAGUGGAAUUCCGAGUGUAGAGGUGAAAUUCGUAGAUAUUCGGAGGAAAAACAGUGGCGAAGGCGGCUAACUGGACCAUUACUGACGCUGAGGUGCGAAAGCGUGGGGAGCAAACAGGAUUAGAUACCCCGGUAGUCCCUGUCUCUUAUAC
rnacentral:rRNA from 1 species